rnacentral:rRNA from 1 species
AGUGAACGCUGGCGGUAGGCCUAACACAUGCAAGUCGAACGGCAGCACAGUAAGAGCUUGCUCUUACGGGUGGCGAGUGGCGGACGGGUGAGGAAUACAUCGGAAUCUACUUUUUCGUGGGGGAUAACGUAGGGAAACUUACGCUAAUACCGCAUACGACCUACGGGUGAAAGCCGGGGAUCUUCGGACCUUGCGCGAUUGAAUGAGCCGAUGUCGGAUUAGCUAGUUGGCGGGGUAAAGGCCCACCAAGGCGACGAUCCGUAGCUGGUCUGAGAGGAUGGUCAGCCACACUGGAACUGAGACACGGUCCAGACUCCUACGGGAGGCAGCAGUGGGGAAUAUUGGACAAUGGGCGCAAGCCUGAUCCAGCCAUACCGCGUGGGUGAAGAAGGCCUUCGGGUUGUAAAGCCCUUUUGUUGGGAAAGAAAAGCAGCAGGUUAAUACCCCGCUGUUCUGACGGUACCCAAAGAAUAAGCACCGGCUAACUUCGUG